rnacentral:rRNA from 2 species
AGAGUUUGAUCAUGGCUCAGAUUGAACGCUGGCGGCAGGCCUAACACAUGCAAGUCGAGCGGUAGCACAGAGAGCUUGCUCUCGGGUGACGAGCGGCGGACGGGUGAGUAAUGUCUGGGAAACUGCCUGAUGGAGGGGGAUAACUACUGGAAACGGUAGCUAAUACCGCAUAAUGUCGCAAGACCAAAGUGGGGGACCUUCGGGCCUCAUGCCAUCAGAUGUGCCCAGAUGGGAUUAGCUAGUAGGUGGGGUAAUGGCUCACCUAGGCGACGAUCCCUAGCUGGUCUGAGAGGAUGACCAGCCACACUGGAACUGAGACACGGUCCAGACUCCUACGGGAGGCAGCAGUGGGGAAUAUUGCACAAUGGGCGCAAGCCUGAUGCAGCCAUGCCGCGUGUGUGAAGAAGGCCUUCGGGUUGUAAAGCACUUUCAGCGGGGAGGAAGGCGUUAAGGUUAAUAACCUUGGCGAUUGACGUUACCCGCAGAAGAAGCACCGGCUAACUCCGUGCCAGCAGCCGCGGUAAUACGGAGGGUGCAAGCGUUAAUCGGAAUUACUGGGCGUAAAGCGCACGCAGGCGGUCUGUCAAGUCGGAUGUGAAAUCCCCGGGCUCAACCUGGGAACUGCAUUCGAAACUGGCAGGCUAGAGUCUUGUAGAGGGGGGUAGAAUUCCAGGUGUAGCGGUGAAAUGCGUAGAGAUCUGGAGGAAUACCGGUGGCGAAGGCGGCCCCCUGGACAAAGACUGACGCUCAGGUGCGAAAGCGUGGGGAGCAAACAGGAUUAGAUACCCUGGUAGUCCACGCCGUAAACGAUGUCGAUUUGGAGGUUGUGCCCUUGAGGCGUGGCUUCCGGAGCUAACGCGUUAAAUCGACCGCCUGGGGAGUACGGCCGCAAGGUUAAAACUCAAAUGAAUUGACGGGGGCCCGCACAAGCGGUGGAGCAUGUGGUUUAAUUCGAUGCAACGCGAAGAACCUUACCUGGUCUUGACAUCCACAGAACUUUCCAGAGAUGGAUUGGUGCCUUCGGGAACUGUGAGACAGGUGCUGCAUGGCUGUCGUCAGCUCGUGUUGUGAAAUGUUGGGUUAAGUCCCGCAACGAGCGCAACCCUUAUCCUUUGUUGCCAGCGGU